rnacentral:lncRNA from 1 species
CUAGGUAGUUUAUAUACUUCAAUUAGUCAUAAACAAAUUAAUAAACUAAAACUCAAGAAAAUAAUAUGAUCAAGUCGGAACUCAAAACUGGUGAAUUGAGCUAGGAUAGAAAAUCAUUAAUUAUAACUAUAACACUAUGGGCCAUAUAUAUGAUACCAUUUUUAGGCCCUCUAAUAAUCUACUGAAACUUUUUAUCGGGCUGAUGACUGACUUCAACCAAGCCCAAUAUAAUAGAUUGCUCCAAAAAGAAGCCCUUUAUACAAUUGGCCAAACGAGUGAUAAUGAAAUAGCAUUCUAAACAUACAUAUAAGACAAAAGGGGCUAUUAGAAGCUGACCUUUGCAAUCUUUGCCUUUUCAAUCAAAAAACCUAUAAUGUGUACAAAAUUAUUGAAUAACGAUAGAACUAAACUAAAACAUGGUAUAACUGGAUUAUUCAGCUCUCAAACCCCUUUUAGCAACCUUAAAUUCCUCCUUUUGGCUUCAUGGCUUACCCAUCUAACCAAUAGUUCUGCAAACUUCGGCCAAAUUAUCAAUAGGAAAUAACCUUUAUAUUCUCUAAAUGAAAAAAAUCCACAUGUUUUCAUAUACAAACCACUUAUCGUAAGAUCUCUGCUAUACUUCUUUUAAAACAAAGAUAAAACUACUAAAAGCAUAGUCAUGUUUUUGAGAGAAAGAAGGAGAACAUAGCAUGAAAUUCAAAUUGCAUGAAUAGUAAUAACCAUUUUCAUUGUCUAAUAAAAACCUCAAGUCAUUGUACAACUUAACAACACAAAUGCAAAGAAUACAAGAACCAAAACCGAUUAAGACUUCAAACAGGGCCGGAAAUCCCAAGAACAUUGUAAUAACAAACAAGCCAACUUCAUUUGUGCUCAGAAAACUUAAGAAAUCAGUAGUUUUAUUUGAAGCAACUUAGUCAAACAUACAAGAGGGUUCAGAAGAUUACCUAGCCAAAGAAAAUAGCCUAAGGAACAAAACAAGCUGCAAUUUCUAGCUCAGCUCAAACAAAACCUACAGUGAAUCAACCCAGGAUCCUUUCCCAAUCUCUGAAACCCAACCAAGAAAGGACCUCUAAAUAAAAAGAACUCAAAAAAAUUCUUCAGAAAACCUUCUAGAGAGUGUUUUUGUCGCAAAUAGAAAGAACUUAAAAAAUUUCUUCAGAAAACCUUUUGGAGAAUAUUUUUAGCCAUUUCCUAUUUUUCUCACUCUUUUUUAUGUGCCCUAAUCAUUUUUAUAGAAGGGAUAUUAGGGCAACCAAAUCAGUUCUUGUAAUUAAAAAGUGACCCUUAAGUUUAUGAUUUUAUUAACUUAAAACCCCUUCGCCCCAGGAUGAUCCUUCCAGCUCUUUUAUAGAAUAUUCCUAUAAGUUUAUUCAAAUCCUGUCAAAUUCCAAAACCAAGAGCCUUGUACUUACCCCCUUCCCCCAUUUGCUUUUUUUACUGCUUUAAAAUUUUUUACCUACAGUAUUGGACCUGCAGCGUGUAGGACUUAAGUCCAAUCCCUUUUUCUCGUACUAGAAAAAUCCAAAAAGAAACCAAAGCCAAAAACAAAUAAAAGCUUAUGUAGAGAAUUAAACAGUAAUUAAUUAACAAAAACUCAUGAUGUAUCUAUAAAAUCUAAUUAAUAAACUAUUAUUCAUUAAUUGGUCAAUUUUUCCCCCUAAAAAAUAAUCAAAAUUCUUUAGAUAGAAAUGGACUCUCAAUAGAAAUUGAGAAGAAAAGCGGGAGGAGAGGUAUACCAGUGGAAUCAAACAAUCUGCAAUGCCUUAUGAGAAGAACAACAAGGUCUUGAUUCGAAUUCGGACGAACAAACUCGACGACGAAAAUUUUAAAAGGAAACUGGCCAGACUCUCGUCCAUGCCCAAUGAUUCAUGCAAUAAUCCCCAUCGUAUGGCCAAGGUCAGACGAGGAAAAGACUUAGAGGGUUUGGGUCAUGAACAAUUAUUUGCCUUAAAAUCCUGCUAAUAUGUGAGAUGGGAUAAUCUCGAGACUAAACAACUCUGUUCAUUGCAAAAAAUGGGGAAUUCAUGCAGGUUUUAACAUGGAUUGAGGAUUUAAUCCAGAAAUUUGGACGAAAAGAAAAAAGCUUGGAUAUUUAUUCUUGGAUCUACAAUUUGAAGAAAUUGAGUGAUCUUUUAAAGAAGGACGAGGAGAUGAUGGGGAUUGGAUGGUUAAAAUUUGGAGGCUUUUGGGGGUGCUCUGCCUCUAUGAGACUAUUUCCGUAUGGCGGAGAGAGGGCAUAGGUGGGAGGCGAUUUAAGAGGAUGAAGACAUAGGUUUUUUCGGUUUAAUCGAUUUAGAUUAUUGCAAACCAUGAGGAUUUAGGUCAUUUAAUUGGGUAGAAC